UUUACGGAGAGUUUGAUUCUGGCUCAGAACGAACGCUAGCGGCGUGGAUAAGACAUGCAAGUCGAGCGGAAGCAAGCGGGUAGCAAUAUUUGCUUGUUUUAGCGGCGGACGGGUGAGUAACACGUGGGAAUCUGCCCAAAAGUCGGGGAUAGCUUGGGGAAACCCAGGAUAAUACCGGAUGUGGUCGUAAGACUAAAGCAGCAAUGCGCUUUUGGAUGAGCCCGCGCCCCAUCAGCUAGUUGGUAGGGUAAUGGCCUACCAAGGCAAUGACGGGUAGCUGGUCUGAGAGGAUGGUCAGCCACAGUGGAACUGAGACACGGUCCACACACCUACGGGUGGCAGCAGUCGAGAAUCAUUGACAAUGGGCGAAAGCCUGAUCGUGCGACGCCGCGUGAGGGAUGAAGGCCUUCGGGUCGUAAACCUCUGUCAGCUGUGAGCAAGGUCUGUGCAAACAGGCUUGAUACUAGCAGCAAAGGAAGGGACGGCUAACUCUGUGCCAGCAGCCGCGGUAAUACAGAGGUCCCAAGCGUUGUUCGGAUUUACUGGGCGUAAAGGGUGAGUAGGCGGCCUAGCAAGUUUAGCGUGAAAUCCCCGGGCCUAACCCGGGAAAUGCGUUGAAUACUGUUGGGCUAGAGGGUCUGAGGGGAGUCUGGAAUUCCCGGUGUAGCAGUGAAAUGCGUAGAUAUCGGGAGGAACACCAGUGGCGAAGGCGAGACUCUGGAAGAUCUCUGACGCUGAAGUCACGAAGGCCAGGGGAGCAAACGGGAUUAGAUACCCCGGUAGUCCUGGCAGUAAACGGUGCGCACUUGCUGUAGGCGGAUUCGACCCCGCCUGUGGCGGAGCUAACGCGUUAAGUGCGCCGCCUGGGAAGUACGGCCGCAAGGCUAAAACUCAAAGAAAUUGACGGGGGCCUGCACAAGCGGUGGAGCAUGUGGCUUAAUUCGAUGCAACGCGAAGAACCUUACCUGGUCUUGACAUGUAUCUAGUAGAAGGGUGAAAGCCUGACGAGUGUAGCAAUACACAGGAUACACAGGUGCUGCAUGGCUGUCGUCAGCUCGUGUCGUGAGAUGUUGGGUUAAGUCCCGCAACGAGCGCAACCCCUAUGUCCUGUUGCCACCCGGCUGUUGCCGGAGCACUCCGGACAGACUGCCCCAUUCCAAUGGGGAGGAAGGUGGGGAUGACGUCAAGUCAGUAUGGCCCUUACGACCAGGGCUGCACACGUGCUACAAUGCCCGGCACAAAGGGAAGCGAAACCGUAAGGUGGAGCAAAUCUCAGAAAACCGGGCCCAGUUCGGAUUGAGGUCUGCAACUCGACCUCAUGAAGUUGGAAUCGCUAGUAACGGCGUAUCAGCUACGACGCCGUGAAUACGUUCCCAGGCCUUGUACACACCGCCCGUCACAUCAUGAAAGCCGGGAGCACACGAAGUCCUUUUUUAUAUUGGACGAAUGUGAGCUUGGUGAUUGGGAUGAAGUCGUAACAAGGUAGCCGUAGGGGAACCUGCGGCUGGAUCACCUCCUUUCUAAGGAGAAA
rnacentral:rRNA from 1 species